rnacentral:lncRNA from 1 species
UGCAUCCCCCAUCCCAGGGGUAAACUCCUGAGACUGGCUUUUGGAUCAGGUUGGGAGGGAGCCUCAUCAGACGAUCACAGGCAGAGGUGGCUCUGAGGGCACCCGAGAGAUACUAACCCCAACGCCUACCAGGGCACAGGGGCUCUGGCUGAACACAAAGGUUUAAGAUCAUCCGAAGGCCCCUGAGUUGCCAAAACACCCAAAUGACACUGAUGUGUUGUGGCCGCAAAAGCUGGGGAGGAAAUGUGAAGGAGGCAGGAAAAGGACCUAUAGAUCUCCAACAGAAAAACCAGAAGCAGACAGGGGUAACCCCAGAGGCAUCUGGGUGGGCCCUGGGCAGGCUGGAGGAGAGCCCACAGCAAAUAGUCUCAGGGCCCUUGCAUAGUGACAUACUCACCACCCUCAGCAUCGAAGG